rnacentral:rRNA from 1 species
UACGUAGGUGGCAAGCGUGGUCCGGAUUUACUGGGCGUAAAGAGCGCGCAGGCGGUCGUUCAAGUCGCGUGUGAAAGCCCCCGGCUCAACUGGGGAGGGUCACGCGAUACUGAUCGACUCGAAGGCAGGAGAGGGUAGUGGAAUUCCCGGUGUAGUGGUGAAAUGCGUAGAUAUCGGGAGGAACACCAGUGGCGAAGGCGACUACCUGGCCUGUUCUUGACGCUGAGGCGCGAAAGCUAGGGGAGCAAACGGG